GGGAAUGUAGCUUAGUGGUAGAGCACUUGCCUAGCAUGUGUGAGGUCCUGGGUUCACUCCCCAGCAUCA
rnacentral:tRNA from 1 species